GACGAACGCUGGCGGCGUGCUUAACACAUGCAAGUCGAACGGAAAGGCCCUGCUUUUGUGGGGUGCUCGAGUGGCGAACGGGUGAGUAACACGUGAGUAACCUGCCCUUGACUUUGGGAUAACUUCAGGAAACUGGGGCUAAUACCGGAUAGGAGCUCCUGCUGCAUGGUGGGGGUUGGAAAGUUUCGGCGGUUGGGGAUGGACUCGCGGCUUACCGGCUUGUUGGGGGGGUAGUGGCUUACCAAGGCUUUGACGGGUAGCCGGCCUGGGAGGGUGACCGGCCACAUUGGGACUGAGAUACGGCCCAGACUCCUACGGGAGGCAGCAGUGGGGAAUAUUGCACAAUGGGCGGAAGCCUGAUGCAGCAACGCCGCGUGCGGGAUGACGGCCUUCGGGUUGUAAACCGCUUUCGCCUGUGACGAAGCGUGAGUGACGGUAAUGGGUAAAGAAGCACCGGCUAACUACGUG
rnacentral:rRNA from 1 species